CUUCUGGAGGGAUAGCUUCAUGGAAUUUGCAGAUGUUACAGUCAGAAGGGCCCUUCAAUGCCAUCUUACCAAACCCCUUGUUUGACAGUAACCUGGGGACCCUCUGCACAUUCCUGAACUCACCUCUUUCCACGUCAAGAGCCCUAGCCUAUGCCAGUUGUCUAGAGCAGUGAGGAGGAGCAGCACCCAGAGAAAACCGGGAAGAGAACUGGG
rnacentral:lncRNA from 1 species